rnacentral:rRNA from 1 species
UACGGGGGGGGCAAGCGUUGUUCGGAAUUACUGGGCGUAAAGGGUUCGUAGGUGGCCAACUAAGUCAGACGUGAAAUCCCUCGGCUUAACCGGGGAACUGCGUCUGAUACUGGAUGGCUAGAGAUUGGGAGAGGGAUGCGGAAUUCCAGGUGUAGCGGUGAAAUGCGUAGAUAUCUGGACGAACACCGGUGGCGAAGGCGGCAUCCUGGACCAACACUGACGCUGAGGAGCGAAAGCCAGGGGAGCAAACGGG